ensembl:lncRNA
GGGGACUGUUCCCCCUGUGCCCUUGUGAGGCCACAUCUGGAGCACUGUGUCCAGGCCUGGGGCCCCCAGCAGGAGAAGGAUGUGGGGCUGUUAGAGCAGGUCCAGAGGAGGGUCAAAAAGGUGGAGCACUUCUAUGAAAAAAGGCUGAGAGAAAUGGGUUGACAUUGAGCAAGGGAGUCAUUUUCACAGGCAACCAUCAGUGUAGAUCCCCCAGCAGGAAACCUUGGAAGCAGCAUCUCAGGGAGCAGGGACUGGUACAGCCCCAUACGCUUACCUUACUGCCAUCACUGAUCGUAACGAGUAGACGGAGACAAUUAGCAGCUGGGGAAAGCUCUGUGGUUUCAUUCAGCCCUCAGGAAGAAUGAAACCUACAGUGGGAAAGUGUCUCCAAAGCAGCUGAGGCAAUUUGUUCCCCCGCCCCCCCCCCUUGUAUGCAGCAAUGAUGAAUAAACUACCACUAUAAGUCUGGUUGUUACAAGAGCUCCUGCAGCCCUUUGGUCUUGUCGAUCAUCUGAUUGCCUUCACUGAAUGCUUCUGUGAGUGAGACCUUUUGGCAGGAGUGAAGUCUGGAAAGAUGAAACACUUGUACAUAAUGACAGAUUCAUGGAAUAACAUGAAUAUUUAUACACACUGGCAUGAGACCACUGCACAUAAUUCAUCUCAGAUGCUUCAAACCAACCAGCUUUGUGGCUUAUAGAGACAGUCAACAAACACAACCAUGCUUUGCUCUCAGUGCUAUACCAGUGUUGAUGCAAUGGCCCUGCUGAACCACGACAAGGAGACUUCAGCCCAGUAUUAUCACAAGGACCAUAGCAGCACACUGCCUGCCCCACAAGCUUUGUGGGCCAGGCAUCUCAUACCUACAACUCCACUUCCCCACCACCUUUGCAUGAAGUUGGACCUUUCCCUGACAUCCCUAAAGGACUCUUCAAGGACAAGGACCAGAAGACAGAGCUCAGGAAACCAGCCUAGGUGAGGGAUCCAUCAGAGUGAAGAAACCCUACAGGCUUAUCUGUAGUGUUACUGAGCUUCAUGCUUCCUACAGUGUUUUUCUUAUUAGAACAGGUCAGCAGAGAGAUGUCCCUCCUAAGCACACAAACCAUCUGCUGCCUGCAGCAAUGCUACAUGCUGUGGUCCAGAGGGAAGCAGAGGGACCCACAUCCUUCUAGGACUCAGCCCCAGAACCUAACUCAGAAUACUGGAAACAAGCAUUCCCGAGGGCAGGCUGCUUUCCAGGAGCAUUAUGUUGCUAAACAAUCCAAGAAACUAACAGAGAACACUACACCCACAGACUGCCAGCAGUAGUCAUAGAAGGGAUGUGGACAGGGACUUACAGCCUGACCCUGCAUAACAUCUUCUCUGUUAUGCCUGCAGUUGUGCACAAUCAAUACUGAUUAUAUCCACCCUGUC